UGGGGAAUAUUGCACAAUGGGCGCAAGCCUGAUGCAGCCAUGCCGCGUGUAUGAAGAAGGCCUUCGGGUUGUAAAGUACUUUCAGUAGGGAGGAAGGUGGUUAAGUUAAUACCUUAAUCAUUUGACGUUACCUACAGAAGAAGCACCGGCUAACUCCGUGCCAGCAGCCGCGGUAAUACGGAGGGUGCAAGCGUUAAUCGGAAUUACUGGGCGUAAAGCGCAUGCAGGUGGUUUGUUAAGUCAGAUGUGAAAGCCCUGGGCUCAAGCCUAGGAAUCGCAUUGAAACUGACAAGCUAGAGUACUGUAGAGGGGGUGAGAAUUAUCAGGUGGUAGCUGGUGAAAUGCGUUAAGAGAUCUGAAGGAAU
rnacentral:rRNA from 1 species